rnacentral:rRNA from 1 species
AGCGGAGGAAAAGAAACCAACAGGGAUUGCCUUAGUAACGGCGAGUGAAGCGGCAAAAGCUCAAAUUUGAAAUCUGGCACCUUCGGUGUCCGAGUUGUAAUUUGAAGAAGGUAACUUUGGAGUUGGCUCUUGUCUAUGUUCCUUGGAACAGGACGUCACAGAGGGUGAGAAUCCCGUGCGAUGAGAUGCCCAAUUCUAUGUAAAGUGCUUUCGAAGAGUCGAGUUGUUUGGGAAUGCAGCUCUAAGUGGGUGGUAAAUUCCAUCUAAAGCUAAAUAUUGGCGAGAGACCGAUAGCGAACAAGUACAGUGAUGGAAAGAUGAAAAGAACUUUGAAAAGAGAGUGAAAAAGUACGUGAAAUUGUUGAAAGGGAAGGGCUUGAGAUCAGACUUGGUAUUUUGCGAUCCUUUCCUUCUUGGUUGGGUUCUCCGCAGCUUACUGGGCCAGCAUCGGUUUGGAUGGUAGGAUAAUGAUUAAGGAAUGUGGCUCUACUUCGGUGGAGUGUUAUAGCCUUGGUUGAUACUGCCUGUCUAGACCGAGGACUGCGUCUUGACUAGGA